AGAGGCGGCCGGAGCCGCUGGAGUACGCCUCUGAUCCUGUGGAGUACUGGAUCAGAGGCGUACUCCAGCGGCUCCGGCCGCCUCU
rnacentral:pre_miRNA from 1 species